UACGUAGGUGGCAAGCGUUAUCCGGAAUUAUUGGGCGUAAAGCGCGCGCAGGCGGUUUCUUAAGUCUGAUGUGAAAGCCCACGGCUCAACCGUGGAGGGUCAUUGGAAACUGGGGAACUUGAGUGCAGAAGAGAAAAGCAGAAUUCCACGUGUAGCGGUGAAAUGCGUAGAGAUGUGGAGGAACACCAGUGGCGAAGGCGGCUUUUUGGUCUGUAACUGACGCUGAGGCGCGAAAGCGUGGGGAGCAAACAGG
rnacentral:rRNA from 1 species